rnacentral:rRNA from 1 species
AGGUCAGAGAUGUAAGUGCUGUGAAGCAUUGAGUUGACUGAUACUAAUAGGUCGAAGGUUUAUUCACA